GACGGAGGAUGCAAGCGUUAUCCGGAAUGAUUGGGCGUAAAGCGUCCGCAGGUGGCCGUUCAAGUCUGCUGUCAAAGCCCGGGGCUUAACUUCGGAAAGGCAGUGGAAACUGAACAGCUAGAGUAUGGUAGGGGCAGAGGGAAUUCCUGGUGUAGCGGUGAAAUGCGUAGAGAUCAGGAAGAACAUCGGUGGCGAAGGCGCUCUGCUGGACCAUAACUGACACUCAGGGACGAAAGCUAGGGGAGCGAAUGGG
rnacentral:rRNA from 1 species